AACGAACGCUGGCGGCAUGCCUAACACAUGCAAGUCGAACGAGACCUUCGGGUCUAGUGGCGCACGGGUGCGUAACGCGUGGGAAUCUGCCCUUGGGUUCGGAAUAACAGUUGGAAACGACUGCUAAUACCGGAUGAUGACGUAAGCCCAAAGAUUUAUCGCCCAGGGAUGAGCCCGCGUAGGAUUAGCUAGUUGGUGGUGUAAAGGCCUACCAAGGCGACGAUCCUUAGCUGGUCUGAGAGGAUGAUCAGCCACACUGGGACUGAGACACGGCCCAGACUCCUACGGAAGGAAGCAGUGGGGAAUAUUGGACAAUGGGCGAAAGCCUGAUCCAGCAAUGCCGCGUGAGUGAUGAAGGCCUUAGGGUUGUAAAGCUAUUUUACCCGGGAAGAUAAUGACAGUACCGGGAGAAUAAGCCCCGGCUAACUCCGUG
rnacentral:rRNA from 1 species